CAUUCACGGAGCAGCUCCGUGGGAAGGCAAGGUCUGCGGCUUGGCUUAGCGCUUUCUGGUUUUGGGUUUUGGACAUCAUCUCACACAGCGUUUUCCUUUGCAAGCUGAGUAAGUGUGGGCUGGAUGAUGGGACUGUUAGAAGAAAAUUCGCUGGACCACCAAGUUUGAAGGGCAAUAAUCCACAGUCUGAGAUCUGGCUGAUGGUACACUUUUCUGUAUCUUCUCCAGAGUCCAUUUUCAGAUGUGGGGAAGUAGAACUGCAUUCAAUAUUCAACAAGAUUUAUUCUGUAUUCCUUUUCCAACUAUGGCCACCAUUCUGCUGCUUUCAUGAUCUCUUUACCGACUGAAAGUUUGCGAGGAGCUCAGAUGAAGAUUUAGUCUCUACAGAUCUCCAUUUACUAUUUUUAUCUUGGAGAACCAAAUCCUGUGGCAUUUAUAGCACCUCCACUGAGGCACUAAGUCCUCUUGGACAUGUGUAUAUGUAUAGUUACAGAAUCAGAUUAGAUCUGCCUCUUAAAGAUCAGUGAACACUUGAGUCCAAACUUAUGUGAAUUUUGGGGAAGCUCAGACUGAGGCAUGAUUCCAGAACUUGGUGAUGACUGACAACCUAAGAGGAGGCAACCUGAAGAGCAGACACCCGGGAAGUAAAACAACAAAGUACGCCGUGUGUAUGAUAGGCUUUACUAUUUCUGCAUUAUAGAGACGUAACUGCUAAAAUGAAGUCUGGCAUUGUUUUUCUCAUGGCUGAGUGAGUGGCAGACCCUGGGGAGAAUGUAUUAGAGUUCUCAUCUUGUAACUUAACUUCUCCUUUUGUCGUUCUGCAUAAUUGCUGUCACCCAGGUAAAGCUGGAUUGUUUCAUCCAUGGUAAAUUCUCUCCCACACAACCCUUUGACCUUCAGGCAGCGAGAGCAGCAGGGUUUCUCAUCUCAUGAUUUAACUGAAGAAAAUAACUACUUGAAGAGGAAGUGCUUUGAAAUAAACAAUGUCUCUGAAUUAGAAAACUAAAUAACUGGAUUUUUACCACAAACUGGGACUCCUGGGAAUAUUUGCCUGGAAUUAACAAAAGAUACAGCAUUUGAAGAACUAAGGUGCUUAAUCAUGUGAAGAAUUUAAGCAGAAAUUUGAGUACAGCUGGGACAAUUACUUAAUUAUGACUAGAAUUCUGAUAAAUGUAAAACAGCUCAUGUUUUGUCAACAGACAUUAGAAUGACUUAUGAGCUCAUAUUGGUUCUCCAAUUCUUUGACAUUAAAAAGUCCAGGAUAUUUUUAAAAUGUUGAAAGCAGUGAGGUAAUUGCCCUUAAUAAUUCAAGUAUGGAAAAAAUGUGUCCACUUCGUCAUUAGAUAUCUCAUAAAAACGUGUUUUUGCUGAUUGUUGUUCUGAUAGUUUUUACCUCAGCCAAGAGGUUGAGCACAUUUUCUUGGCAAAAACUCCUGCAAAUCAUCCUCUCCAAUCUUUUUUUCAGCUUCUAGGGCAAAAAAGCAAUCUGAUUUUCACUGAGGAGAAAUCCAUAAAGGUGCAAAGAACUAUUUAUUUCUAACUACUAUGUUGGUUAUAUUGGAUAUUGCCUUGAAAUACAGCCUAUGGGAAAUCAGCUUGCCCAGUGCAAAGUGCAGUCAAACUGAUUAUUGUAAAAUAUAUCACAUGUAAGAUAGCCAGUGCUGUGAUUCAUAGGAGCUUAUAAUCACUUUCCCCUAUGCUGUUCUUAAACUUUUUCCUGACUGAUUUGCAUUUUGAGGAAUCAUCACUGUUGUGUAUUAAGUGAUGUAUCAAGACAUAUUAUUAAAGUACAUCUUUAAGGAGCAAUGGUCCACCAGAGCUAUAUAAAACAAUGUAAUGUGUAUUAGCUGAAUAAAGCCAAACAACAUCAACU